rnacentral:rRNA from 1 species
UACAGAGGUCCCAAGCGUUGUUCGGAUUCACUGGGCGUAAAGGGUGCGUAGGUGGCCAGGUAAGUUCGGUGUGAAAGCUCGGAGCUUAACUCCGAAAUGUCAUUGAAUACUAUCUGGCUAGAGGGUCGGAGGGGAGACUGGAAUUCUCGGUGUAGCAGUGAAAUGCGUAGAUAUCGAGAGGAACACCAGUGGCGAAGGCGAGUCUCUGGACGACACCUGACACUGAGGCACGAAAGCUAGGGGGAGCAAACAGG